GGGCCGAAUUGGGCAUGGAGGGCA
rnacentral:siRNA from 1 species